rnacentral:tRNA from 1 species
GAGUGUGUAGCUCAGUGGUUAAUAACUAAAGAGCGUUUGACUGCAGAUCAAAUAUGAUUUAAUGGUCAGGAGUUCGAUAUUUAAAUAAUACUCUUCACACUCU